UACAGAGGGUGCGAGCGUUAAUCGGAAUUACUGGGCGUAAAGCGUGCGUAGACGGUAGCGUAAGUCGGAUGUGAAAUCCCCGGGCUCAACCUGGGAAUUGCAUUCGAGACUGCAAGGCUUGGGUGCGGAAGAGGGAAGCGGAAUUUCCGGUGUAGCGGUGAAAUGCGUAGAUAUCGGAAGGAACAUCAGUGGCGAAAGCGGCUUCCUGGUCCAGCACCGACGUUCAGGCACGAAAGCGUGGGGAGCAAACAGG
rnacentral:rRNA from 1 species